GCUGGGUGCAGUGGCAGGCACCUGCAAUCCUAGCUACUCGGGAGGCUGAGGCAGAAGAAUUGCUUGAACCCAGGAGGCAGAGGUUGCAGUGAGCUGAAAUUGUGCCACUGCACUCCAGCCUGGGCAACAGAGCAAUAUUCUGCCUCAA
rnacentral:SRP_RNA from 1 species